UAGGUUUUAGUCCUGCACCCAGCUGGAUGUAAAGGCUGUGUAAUUAUGGCAUUGAUCACUGAGGCCAAGGGACCAUGGUGACCGUCACAUCAGCUCAGAAGGCAGCUCCAACAGUGUUCCCAGUUGCUUCAUGCUCUGAACCAAGCCCAGACGGAUUCAUUUCAUUGGGCAUUUUAGCAACCGAGUUCUUACCAAGCGAUAUAAGUUUUACUUGGAGAUCCCAGCCAUCCAUCGACACCUCACACUUUCUGCCGAAGACUUAUCCAUCAGUAAUAAGCAGCAAGGGAACUUACACAGGCAGCAGUCAACUUCUGUUACCCCUCACAGACUGUCAGAAACCAAUUAAAAUUUUCUGUGAAGUUAAACACUCAAUAGGCACAAAGGAAUACUCUGUCUUCUGUCCAGAGUUUACAGCGAUACUUCCAAAGGUGUCCAUCUUUCCACCAGCAACAGAGGAGUUUACGUCUACUAACCUUGUCUGCUUGGUUGAGGGUUUCAGACCAAAAAAUGCAAAGGUUACGUGGUCCAAAAACAGGCAGCCUGUGAAUAUGGGGGUAUUAACUUUUGCAACAGUUUUAGAUGAAAACAAGAAUUUCACUACAACCAGUAGUCUGAGAAUAACACGUGAAGACUGGAACAACAACGCUGUAUUUAUGUGUCAAGCCUCACAUCCGAGGUGGGAUGAAACAGUGACAAAAAACAUUAGCAGAGCAAUUGUCCAAAGGUGCACUCGUGAAGAUGUGAAGGUCUACGGAAUUGCUCCAUCCAUUGAAGAUAUUUUGUUGGCCAAAUCUCCACAUGUUUCAUGUUUAGUGUCUGGAUUAUUGUCCCCAGAAAACUGUAAUAUUUCUUGGGUUAGAAGCACUGAUCCAAAAAUUUUCCAAUUUCCAUUUGAAGAAAUAAUAAAUGAAAACGGCACAUACAGUAUCAUUAGCAAAAUGCCCAUAUGUCCAGCGGAAUGGAACUCUGAUGAAGAAUUUACAUGUAUUGUGGAACACGAAUCACUGCCCACUCCUGAACGGGUCACUAUCCAGAAGUACAGUGGGGGAAUACUGAAAAAACCUAAGAUUGUUCUUCUUCCACCCACAUCAGAAGAUCUCUCUAAUGGUCAAACUGCAUCUCUGACCUGCCUGGUGAAAGAUUUUUUUCCCGGAGACCUCUUCCUCAAGUGGCACCACAAUGGGGCACCAGUCCCAGAUUAUGAGUACAGCCACACCAAUAAGUUACGAGAUGCAGGAAAUGAGUCCUUCUCCAUGUACAGCAAGCUCGAUAUUCGUGUCGAAGACUGGAACCAUGGUCAUUCCUUCUCCUGCAUCGUUGGCCACGAAUCUCUAGACUUGAAUGUCUCAAGCAAAACCAUUGAUAAAUCAUCGGGUAAACCAAGCUCUGUCAAUGUUACAGUUAUUAUGCCAGACACAGCUGGUACUUGUUAUUAGCAGAUUUGUGCUAAUUCAUUGGCUGUUUGCUUCUACUGUGCUACUGUUAAGUAAGAUUCCAGCACGUGUGCUUCAUUUUGUUAAUGACUGAUUACUUGUGAAAAUUCAAAAUGACAUAAGAUAUCUUAAAAUGCUGUACAGAUUAUAUUGAAAUAAAUACCCUUUCAACAUG